rnacentral:lncRNA from 1 species
CAACUAUUAUCAAACUCUUAUUGAUGAUAAAAUAAAUAACUUAAAUGAAAAUAAUAAAAUAUAUCUAUAUAAAUUUCUUAAAUCUAAUAUAAAUAACCAAAUGCAAUACUACCUAUCACACCCAAGUAAAGAGACAAGAAAAAUGUUAACCAAAUUUAGAAUAAGCGAUCAUUGUCUCUUCAUAGAAACUGGACGAUAUACCAAAAUACCAC